CACAAGCGGAGGAGCAUGUGGUUAAUUCGAUGAUACGCGAGGAACCUUACCUGGGCUCGAACGUAAGAUGACUGUAGGUGAAAGCUUACAUCUCUUCGGAGCAUUUUACGAGGUGCUGCAUGGUUGUCGUCAGCUCGUGCCGUGAGAUGUUGGGUUAAGUCCCGUAACGAGCGCAACCCUUGUCCUUAGUUACCAGCACGUUAUGGUGGGCACUCUAAGGAGACUGCCGGUGACAACCGGAGGAAGGUGGGGAUGACGUCAAGUCAUCAUGGCCCUUACGGCCUGGGCUACACACGUGCUACAAUGGUCGGUACAAAGGGUUGCCAAGCCGCGAGGUGGAGCUAAUCCCAUAAAACCGAUCGUAGUCCGGAUCGCAGUCUGCAACUCGACUGCGUGAAGUCGGAAUCGCUAGUAAUCGUGAAUCAGAAUGUCACGGUGAAUACGUCCCCGGGCCUU
rnacentral:rRNA from 1 species